rnacentral:rRNA from 1 species
GACAGAGGGUGCAAGCGUUGUUCGGAAUUAUUGGGCGUAAAGGGCGCGUAGGCGGCCGCGUAAGUCAGGUGUGAAAGCCCGGGGCUCAACCCCGGAAGUGCGCCUGAUACUGCGUGGCUUGAAUCCCGGAGAGGGUGGUGGAAUUCCCAGUGUAGAGGUGAAAUUCGUAGAUAUUGGGAGGAAUACCGGUGGCGAAGGCGACCACCUGGACGGUGAUUGACGCUGAGGCGCGAAAGCGUGGGGAGCAAACAGG